GACGAACGCUGGCGGCGUGCUUAACACAUGCAAGUCGAACGGAAAGGCCCUGCUUUUGUUGGGUGCUCGAGUGGCGAACGGGUGAGUAACACGUGAGUAACCUGCCCUUGACUUUGGGAUAACUUCAGGAAACUGGGGCUAAUACCGGAUAGGAGCUCCUGCUGCAUGGUGGGGGUUGGAAAGUUUCGGCGGUUGGGGAUGGACUCGCGGCUUAUCAGCUUGUUGGUGGGGUAGUGGCUUACCAAGGCUUUGACGGGUAGCCGGCCUGAGAGGGUGACCGGACACAUUGGGAAUGAGAUACGGACCAGACUCCUACGGGCGGCAGCAGUGGGGAAUAUUGCAGAACGGGCGGAAGCCUGAUGCCGCAACGCCGCGUGCGGGAUGACGGCCUUCGAGUUGUAAACCGCUUUCGAAUGUGACGAAGCGUGAGUGACGGUAAUGGGUAAAGAAGCACCGGCUAACUACGUG
rnacentral:rRNA from 1 species